AUUUCGGGGUUAGUAGGUUGGUCAUGCCUCUGGUAUGUACUGGUCUCACUGAUUCCUCCUUCCUGAUGAGCCGUAAUGCCAUUAAUUUGGUGUUGCGGGGAAUUUGGACUGUUACUUUGAAAAAAUUAGAGUGUUUAAAGCAAGCUAACGCUUGAAUACAUUAGCAUGGAAUAAUGAAAUAGGACGUUCGAUCCUAUUUUGUUGGUUUCUAGGAUUGACGUAAUGAUUAAUAGGGAUAGUUGGGGGCAUUAGUAUUCAAUUGUCAGAGGUGAAAUUCUUGGAUUUAUUGAAGACUAACUACUGCGAAAGCAUUUGCCAAGGAUGUUUUCAUUAAUCAAGAACGAAAGUUAGGGGAUCGAAGACGAUCAGAUACCGUCGUAGUCUUAACCAUAAACUAUGCCGACUAGGGAUCGGAUGAUGUUCAUUUUUUAAUGACUCA
rnacentral:rRNA from 1 species